rnacentral:misc_RNA from 1 species
UACGGAGGGUGCAAGCGUUGUUCGGAAUUAUUGGGCGUAAAGCGCGCGCAGGCGGACUAUUAAGUCCGGUGUGAAAACCCUCGGCUCAACCGAGGACGUGCAUCGGAAACUGGUGGUCUUGAGUCCUGGAGAGGGUGGCGGAAUUCCCAGUGUAGAGGUGAAAUUCGUAGAUAUUGGGAGGAACACCAGUGGCGAAAGCGGCCACCUGGACAGUGACUGACGCUGAGGCGCGAAAGCGUGGGUAGCAAACAGG